rnacentral:tRNA from 1 species
AGCCCCACGGUGUAAUGGUUAGCACUGUCGACUUUGAAUCUAGCAAUUCGAGUUCAAAACUCGGUGGGACCU